UUUAAAGUAAUGAGGAACCCUGCAGUUCGAAUGCUUUUUUUCAGAGAGCUAGUGACCGGUGUGAUACUAGUAAAAAGCAUGAAUUAGCAAAUCAGUUCCGAACGUUAAACCGAAGCUAGUAAGUUUAACCGGUUCAUCACCGUUAACAAAUGGAGAGCGAUUCAAGCAAUUGAGUCGGAAUUUGGGUGGUACCGCGAGCACAUUUCGUCCCUUGA
rnacentral:ncRNA from 1 species